CCUACGGGAGGCAGCAGUGGGGGAUAUUGCACAAUGGGGGAAACCCUGAUGCAGCGACGCCGCGUGUGGGAAGACGGUCUUCUGGAUUGUAAACCACUGUCCCCAGGGACGAAAAUGACGGUACCUGACCAAGACGCCCCGGCUCACUACGUGCCAGCAGCCGCGGUAAUACGUAGGGGGCAAGCGUUAUCCGGAAUUACUGGGUGUAAAGGGAGCGUAGACGGUUAAGUAAGUCUGGAGUGAAAGGCCGGGGCCCAACCCCGGGACUGCAUUGGAAACUGUUGAACUGGAGUACAGGAGAGGUAAGCGGAAUUCCUAGUGUAGCGGUGAAAUGCGUAGAUAUUAGGAGGAACACCAGUGGCGAAGGCGGCUUACUGGACUGUAACUGACGUUGAGGCUCGAAAGCGUGGGGAGCAAACAGGAUUAGAUACCCUUGUAGUC
rnacentral:rRNA from 1 species